rnacentral:lncRNA from 13 species
AUGAACAGUUUAAAACAAACAAAGCCAAAACCACCUGGAAAGAGAUUUAGAAAUUGUGUCCAUUCGUGGUUCCUCACUGUGAUUUGGAUGAUGAAAAGGAGUUUCAGAGGUCCCACGAGGAAAGGCAGCGCUGUGUUGUCACCCAGGCAGAGAGGGCUGUGCUGGAGAGCGCCGAGCCGCGCUCGGAGCCCCGCGUUCUCCCGGCAUCGGCAGAGCCCGGCCCGGCGCGGGGUCCGUGCUGUCCCCGUGUCGCUGUGUCCCCGUGUCGCCGUGUCCCUGUGUCCCCCUCUCCCCGUGUCGCCGUGUCCCUGUGUCCCCCUCUCCCUGUGUCGCUGUGUCCCCGUGUCGCCGUGUCCCUGUGUCCCCCUCUCCCCGUGUCCCCCUCUCCCCGUGUCCCUGUGUCCCUGUGUCCCCCUCUCCCCGUGUCGCCGUGUCCCUGUGUCCCCCUCGUCCCGUGUCGCUGUGUCCCCCUCGUCCUGUGUCCCUGUGUCCCCCUCGUCCUGUGUCGCUGUGUCCCCUCUCCCCGUGUCCCCGUGUCCCUGUGUCCCCUCUCCCCGUGUCCCUGUGUCCCCCNUGUCCCCCUCUCCCCGUGUCGCCGUGUCCCUGUGUCCCCCUCGUCCCGUGUCGCUGUGUCCCCCUCGUCCUGUGUCCCUGUGUCCCCCUCGUCCUGUGUCGCUGUGUCCCCUCUCCCCGUGUCCCCGUGUCCCUGUGUCCCCUCUCCCCGUGUCCCUGUGUCCCCCUCUCCCCGUGUCGCCGUGUCCCUGUGUCCCCCUCGUCCUGUGUCACUGUGUCCCCGUGUCCCCUCUCCCCCUGUCCCUGUGUCCCGUGUCCCCUGGCCCGGGCGGUGCUGCUCUCUCGCGGUGGAUCCCGGCAGCGACGCUCGGUUUGCGGAUCCGUCAGGUGGGAGCUGAAACCCGGCAAAGGCUACUGCUCCUCUGGAUUUCAGGCAGUGCCUGUUCUCGGGAAUCAGGGACCUUCUCUGCGUCUCGCUGCAUCCUCCCCAGGAGCCGGGGCUGCCAGCGCUCCCUGAGCUGUGAGAAGUGCUCUGCGCAGAGGUCCCUAGCCUGGUUGCUCUCUGGCUGGUGUGGGCUGUGA